AACAAAAUCAUAAGAAAAAGUUAAAUGGCUCAGGCAAUUCUCCUAUGCGGCUUCGUCCUUCGUCCUGCUUCCGUUUCGUCCUCCUUGCGUUCGUCUGCGACUUUCGUUGAGUGAGGAAACCCAUCCAACAGAUACAAAAAAAAAACAAAAAGGCCACUGAUUGAUCGUUCUGGAGACCUCGUCUUUUGACAACCAAUUAACCAAUCCAAGACAAAAACACGGUGUAUGUUUGCGGCAAUGAUGAAUGAAUCGUUUAUUAUAUUUUGAUACUAUGAGCUGUGGGAGCUGAAACUUUAUAUUUUGAUACUAAUAAAAAU